UAAACUGUCAAUUAUAUCUUC
rnacentral:piRNA from 1 species